CCUUAACACACCUUGAGAAGGACAAAAUAAAUGAUAUGCACUUGUUUACAAAUGCAGACUACUCCUGUUGAAUUUUGUCUGCUCUCAUGGUAUCAGAAUGAAUACAUUGUUUGCUUAUUCAUUCUUUGCAUGCACUCGUAAUUUAGGUGUACAAAUCAAUUGUCUACGAUGCGAGACAAAGUCAAGUAUAAGAAAUAUUUAUAUAGGUGUUGGUUAGCACUAUGAAUAGUCGUUGUCAUUAUAAAUAGAAAGUUUUAUAAUUAUAUAGCUUGAUUCUUCAAAAGACGAAAGUCCCAGCUUUGUCGGGAUACAUUCAAUAUCUCUACAUAUCUUGGGAUAUUUCUUCAAUAAGGUCAAUGAAGAUAUUAGUUAAUGAGUGGGGAAUUUCAUGAGCGGCACAUGCAGAAGAUAAACCUUGGUAAAUCUGUAGAAAAUGAUAGCACAAAAGAACCUUCCUUCCCAGUUACUUAGUGUCAGUGAAACAUAUAUAAGGAUCCCACAAAUUUACGAUUAGCUUGGAGACUAAAGAAAAGUAUUCUGUCUAUGUGUGCAACUGCAAGGGCAAUACUGCAGACCAUAUUAGGCAACACAAAUUUGAUUUUCUUGAGGACCAUAAAUUUGUUUUCAAAAUUACAUGCCAAAAAACAUUUAUUAGACAAUACAGGAUAAUAAAUAGAAUAAUUUGCAAACUAUCUCUUACACUUGAGAUCUGAAAUACCUUGGGGUCAAAAACAAAUAAUAUAAAGCUAGAGAGUAGAAGUACAUUUAUUAGACAAACAUUAAUCACAAACUUUGAUGAAGUUUGAAAGCUAGAGGACUUCUCAAGUUAUCUGAUGGAUAUCCAAAAGUUUCUGGAUAAUAAAGAAAAGAGAGGAAGAUGUCACUUUUUCUGUUAUGUCUUUCUGCACGGUAAACAACCAACUCAGGAAGUCCUUACAAUGAUGGAUAUCCUACGGUGUAUGUUUGAGCUAGCAAAGCUUGAGUUGGCACAGUAACAUAAAUGUCAAUAUGAGAGUUUUUAUAUUAACUAACUCGGUUGUACUAAUGUUUAAAGAGAGCGAAAAUAGUAAAAAUUUCAAGCACACAACAAAAUUGCUAACCACCAGCUUAGUAGCUUAAUUUUCACAUGAGUUUUUUGAAAGAAAUGUAUCUGCUCAGUUGAACAAGAGUAAGAAAGCCAGUAGAGAAAUGAAAAUUUGGAUUCAUGUGAAGGGAUAAUAAAAUGAACACAAACAACGAUGGGAUUGAUGGUUGUCCAAUGCUUUGCAUAGCUAUUCUCUAGCUGACUAUAUUUUUCACUUGAGGCUGAAACCAAGAAAAACAGGGACCAUAAUAGUAAUACUGAGAACUCUCAAUUAUCAAAUCAAACCAUAUGCGGCACCAUUUAAAGUGAAGGAUGACCCAUAAGUAAAGAAAGGUAAGGAAAUACAAGAAAAAUUGAUAACACCUAAAGUUGAAUUAAAAUUUUGUCAUAAGUUACUUGUUGCGUGUACAAUUCAAUUUAUACCAUUAUGUUCAUUGCAACCAAAUAUGUAUAACAACAGUUGACAUGAUUAUAUUUGUAAUAAAAAGAAGUAUAUAGGUUCUAAAUU
rnacentral:lncRNA from 1 species